UACGAAGGGGGCUAGCGUUGCUCGGAAUCACUGGGCGUAAAGGGUGCGUAGGCGGGUCUUUAAGUCAGGGGUGAAAUCCUGGAGCUCAACUCCAGAACUGCCUUUGAUACUGAGGAUCUUGAGUUCGGGAGAGGUGAGUGGAACUGCGAGUGUAGAGGUGAAAUGCGUAGAUAUCGGGAGGAACACCAGUGGCGAAGGCGACUUCCUGGCCUGUUCUUGACGCUGAGGUGCGAAAGCGUGGGGAGCAAACAGG
rnacentral:rRNA from 1 species